rnacentral:rRNA from 1 species
UACGUAGGUGGCGAGCGUUAUCCGGAUUUAUUGGGUGUAAAGGGCGUGUAGGCGGGAAUGCAAGUCAGAUGUGAAAACUAUGGGCUCAACCCAUAGCCUGCAUUUGAAACUGUAUUUCUUGAGUGCUGGAGAGGCAAUCGGAAUUCCGUGUGUAGCGGUGAAAUGCGUAGAUAUACGGAGGAACACCAGUGGCGAAGGCGGAUUGCUGGACAGUAACUGACGCUGAGGCGCGAAAGCGUGGGGAGCAAACAGG